rnacentral:rRNA from 1 species
UACGUAGGGGGCAAGCGUUGUCCGGAUUUAUUGGGCGUAAAGCGCGUGUAGGCGGCCAGGUAGGUCGGUUGUGAAAAAUUGGAGGCUCAACCUCCAGACGUCGAUCGAAACCAUCUGGCUAGAGUCCGGAAGAGGAGAAUGGAAUUCCUGGUGUAGCGGGUGAAAUGCGUAGAUAUCGUAAGGAAGACCAGUGGCGAAGGCGGGUCUCUGGACAGUUCUGACGUGAGGCACGAAGGCCAGGGGGAGCAA